AAAUAGGGAAUGAAGUUCUCCCUCGGUAAAACCGAAACCGCUGUUAAGCUGAUGACUUCUGUG
rnacentral:ncRNA from 1 species